UACAGAGGUCUCAAGCGUUGCUCGGAAUCACUGGGCGUAAAGGGUGCGUAGGCGGGUCUUUAAGUCAGGGGUGAAAUCCUGGAGCUCAACUCCAGAACUGCCUUUGAUACUGAAGAUCUUGAGUUCGGGAGAGGUGAGUGGAAUUGCAGGUGUAGCGGUGAAAUGCGUAGAUAUCGGAAGGAACACCUGUGGCGAAAGCGGCUCACUGGACCACAACUGACGCUGAUGCACGAAAGCUAGGGGAGCAAACAGG
rnacentral:rRNA from 1 species